GGGGCUGAUUCUGGAUUCGACGGGAUUUGCGAAACCCAAGGUGCAUGCCGAGGGGCGGUUGGCCUCGUAAAAAGCCGCAAAAAAUAGUCGCAAACGACGAAAACUACGCUUUAGCAGCUUAAUAACCUGCUUAGAGCCCUCUCUCCCUAGCCUCCGCUCUUAGGACGGGGAUCAAGAGAGGUCAAAUCCAAAAGAGAUCGCGUGGAAGCCCUGCCUGGGGUUGAAGCGUUAAAACUUAAUCAGGCUAGUUUGUUAGUGGCGUGUCCGUCCGCAGCUGGCAAGCGAAUGUAAAGACUGACUAAGCAUGUAGUACCGAGGACGUAGGAAUUUCGGACGCGGGUUCAACUCCCGCCAGCUCCACCA
rnacentral:tmRNA from 1 species